UGAGGGAAGCUCAUCGGUGGGGCUACGAUGUAAGUGCCUUGUGUCACUCUGCCCCAUAUCCCCUGGAAGGUCUGAGACUAGGACCAAAAGUGGCCCUGACAGGCUCCUUCCUGGGUUUUGGGGAGGUGAGUUCUCAGAGAAUGGGUAUCCACUUGAGGAUAGAUUGCGCAGGAGGUGCCAUGGACCCUGGCUUUGGGGAGGAGGCUGGCAAAUGCCUCCUUAGCCAGAGCUUGAAACAGACUCAUGACCAGUGAAGUGAGUUCAAUGAGUGAGGUGAGGUACCCUGCCCAGGGGUCUCAUAACCCAGUUCAGACUUCUCUAUGCUGUUUA
ensembl:ribozyme RNaseP_nuc Nuclear RNase P